rnacentral:misc_RNA from 1 species
UCAACUUCAAGACCGAUGACGGCGAGUCCCACGAAGUCGGCGGCAGGUAUCUCGAAGUCACGCCCUAUCAGCGGCUGAUCUUUAGCUGGGCAUGGCAUUCGACGCCGGAGCGUAUCUCGCAGGUGACUGUUGUGCUGCGCGAGGAAGGCGACGUCACGCUGCUCACGCUGACCCACGACAAGUUCUUCGAUGAGGCCGCGCGUGACGGCCACAAGCGUGGCUGGACCGGAACGCUCGACAAGCUUGAGAAGUUCUUCGCCUGAGAUCAACAACACCGUCGGCCGACGACGGCGGCAAUCAUGGAAACCACCAAAGGAGCUUGAAAUGCAGUAUGUCGACGGAUUUGUGUUGCCGGUGCCGAAGAAGAACAUCAAGGCCUACACGGCCCUGGCCAAGACCGCCUGCAAGGUCUGGCUCGAACACGGCGCCCUCGAUUACCGUGAAUGUGUCGCCGAAGACGUCAAACCCGGCAAGCU